rnacentral:misc_RNA from 1 species
CCAUUAACCAUAGUAAGCAUAGUGAAAAGGGACUUGUCAUCCAUAUUUACAAUUGCGGAAUCGGACAAUAUCCCAUUGUGAUACUUUCUAGCAAGAUCAUGAAGAUAACUAGCUUUACGCCCCGAAACCCCAAUUUGUCGCAGUUGUUGGGGUGUCAAAGCAAGUACUGUCUCCGGGAGGACAUCGGCCUCUCCCCCGCACAGAGUAAUAAAGCGAGUGUAGAUUGAAGUACCAGCU